UACGGAGGGGGCUAGCGUUGUUCGGAAUUACUGGGCGUAAAGCGCACGUAGGCGGCUUUGUAAGUUAGAGGUGAAAGCCCGGGGCUCAACCCCGGGUCGGCCGUGCGGACUGGCGUGCUUGAGCACUGUAGGGGCGGGUGGAAUUCCGGGUGUAGCGGUGGAAUGCGUAGAGAUCCGGAAGAACACCGGUGGCGAAGGCGGGUCUCUGGGCCGAUACUGACGCUGAGGAGCGAAAGCGUGGGGAGCGAA
rnacentral:rRNA from 1 species